GGAAAGACAAGAAUACCUUUUUGUACAGGACAAUAAACCAAUGUUAAACACUAUAUUAAAACUGUUGAUGGUCACUUGAAGACAAACUUUCAUUGUUUUUCAAUAAUUUUGUUUCAUUUUGACUUUUGAUGGAAAUAAAUUAUCAUAGAUAAGGUCAUCACAAUUAAAUCAGUCGAAAAAUAAUAACACAUUUGUAAUGAUAUCAUCUUUAAUAAUGUUUUUGUAACAAUUAUAAAUAUGGCUAAAAAAUAUUAAUAACAAACUGAAAUGAGUCAGCCAGUCUCAUUGCCGCCAAUCUGCUUUCUUUGCCUUCUUUUGUUUCUCUCUGCAAGCUUUCCAUGCUGCAAGCUCUUCAAAGUAAAUUAAUCUUCAUUUCCGAUUUUAUGACCAUUUACCUUGGAUUAUCUUUACUAAUUUAUGGGCCUGGCCGGUAAAUUGUGGUACCUACCUAAGUGUAUUCAUGAGUUAACAUAUUACUCUUUAAUUGUUUGCUGAUUACAGCUAUUACCAAGGAAUUAUGGCCACUUAAUAAGAGCUAACAUACGUUAUACCAAGUCAACCCUUUACAACAUGGCUAACAGCUUUUUUCAUCAAGAGUAAUUCACCUCCAUUUAUGAAUUAAUUUUUUUUCUUCACCUUUCUUUUGGAAAACAUUUAUUGUUGGAAUUACCAAAUUAGUGAUGUUAAAUAGCAUACAAUCAAGUUGUUUCAAUCCUGCUAACAAGAUACAUGUGCUAUUGAACAAUAUUUUGCAAUUAACAACAUUACAUGGCUGUUGAAAUACAUGCAUUUUAUACAUUCUCAUCAUCAUGAUAAUACGAUGUUAACCUUGAACGGUUUGCCUGGUUAAAGAGUUUGGUUUGUUGAUUAAAAGGAUUGAUGUUGGCUUUUUUUCAGUGAAAGUGAUGGCUUCGCAGGAAUGGAUGGAUCAUUCACUUUUUUGUUUGACUGUCAGGUCAACCUUUUAAUUGUUACCCUUAUAAUUAACUCAAGAAAAGAUUUCAACUUGAUGUCUUCACAUGUCCUGUCAGCAUGGUUUCACGUAAUUUCAGUUUCAUCUACAGUUCACCUCACCCAUAUACCUUAAUCAUCAACACUUAUUAGUUUCCAACUUCUUUUUGCUUUACUGUCUUUUGGCUUUUAUUGAGACCCAUGUGAUGAUCGAUUGUCCAUCUUGAGUACAUACUCACCUCGACCAUCAAUUUGUAAAUGCACUAUUUCAAGGUCUCUAUACUUUGCAUAAACCCGUAGCGUAAAAAAAGACAAUUUCAAGAUUCUUCACUCAUUUUACAUGAUUAGGAGAUCAUUUCAUUUCUGAUUGUUUUUCUCUAUCUUAUGAUCAUCGAUUCACUUCAUUUUGAUCAAUACAACUGAUAUAAUCCUUUUUUUUAAUCAAUACAGCCUUGGUUAACUUGAUACUCUUUAACGUAUCCAUUUAAUGUUAAGUACUGAAUAAGUUUUUAAUGUAAUCAAAAAGCACUAUUACCAGAAGAAAAGAUCAACGAUUUAAGUUUUAUCAAUCGUUUCAAUACUUCA